rnacentral:lncRNA from 1 species
CGCAUCUCCCUAGUGAGCGAUAGUUAUUAAAUCUCGCAUUUCAAGAAAUCAUAAGUCGUUUCCAAAUCAAAACAAUAAAAUAUUAUUUUCUGGCUCACAAAGGCAUUUUCGUUAUUUUUUUUUCAAAAAUAUCGAAACCCGUCAAAAACAUGGUGUAAAAGCUAAAUAUGUUCAUACAUACUUUAAAUCAGAUAACUGAAGUAUAAAAUUACUUUUACAGUGACACAUGGGCCCCCAACUGACCAAAAUGCAUCGGAAGCUGAAAACCUACAGCUUUUGCCGAUUCAAGUCCAAAUGAAGGUCCUUGUCAAAGUCAGCUAACUAUGAAAUUCUCUGAGCCUGAAAUGUGAGGAAAAGAGGGUGGUGAGAUUAUAAAAUCCCAGUGAGUAAACAGACACCAUGUAAACCAUCUAAAGGCGAGUAAAUGGAGACGAAUUAAAAUAUUCUUUUCUAAUAUAUGUUUCAUAACAUGAAUAUUCAGUUUACUCAAUUAAUCAACAUGGCUUAUAUAUCUCACAAAACUUGGCUCCUGCCAAAAUCAUUCUCGCGGGUACCUUAUUCAAGGUAUCCCACUGAGAUCGCCAAGGCUGUUAAAUGUCCCAUACCCAUAAACAUGUUUUCGCAUCUGACACACAGCCAUUCCUUGGCGUUGGCUGAGUCUCACUCUCAUGCGAUGGUCCACGUAAAGUGCACUCAAAUCUUUACCUCAGGAGAUAUUUCAUCCAACAUCUCCCUCCGGAGGUAAAUAAAUAACUGAGUUACUGUGCCCCUCUUAUAAGCAGUCCAUGAAAACUCCCACCACUGCAGUGACUAUGGAUUAUUUUAUCUACCACCUGAUUUAUAAAAUCCUUAUCUGCAUGACAUGACAAUUUAUCGCAAUCUAGCCUCUCAAGGCUGAAUACAUAGUAUAUAUAAUUUUGAUACAAAUAUCGACUUUGCCAUUCAUGCUCAAAUAUUGCUAUAAGCCAUAUAAUUUAAAACACAAUUUAUAACACAAGCAGGCAGUCUCCAAUUACUCUAUUUUUAAAACCAGUAUUCAAUUUUUCAUAAAAUUUAUAAAAUUAUUUUAUAAAAUCACAAUUUCUCCUAAAACAUAGUAAUUUACUAUUUAAACUCAUUUUCUAUAAAAUCACACAAUUGUAUAAAACUACUUUAGAUAAUUAAAAAGAUAAUAAGUUUACUCACAGUUCUAGGAGUCGAUGUACUCCUAAUCC